rnacentral:tRNA from 1 species
UGAAGUAGCUCAGUUGGUAGAGCAACUGAUUCGUAAUCAGUAGGUCGGAGGUUCAACUCCUCUCUUCAG